AAAAUGGGGACGUCGGGAGCAUUCUCUGGACAGCAGGAGAUGCAUGUCGACAGGCUGGCCCUGCCUCUUCCCACCCCAGAGUGAUGCAGCGGUGUCCUGGACCCCUGGGGAGAGGUGACCCCCCAGCAGGAAGCUGGGCCUCGUUUCUGUCCCUCCACAGCCACAAGGCCUGGCCAGGACGCUGGGAGCACCACGCCCUGGAGACUCAGCUCACCAAGGACUCAGGGGUGGCGGCUCCCCUGGCACCUGGGAAGCUGGGCCCCCCGGCCCCCUGGACUCCCACCCAGACACCAUCUCAACCCAGGCACUUCCCCCUGGGCCAGAGGGCAGCCUGGCAGCCCUGGACUCCAGGAGGGCCGAGUCUGGGGAACUGGAGGACGUCACAUUCCACUCUUGAUGAUGCCGCCCCAGUACUACAAUCUGGACAGCAGGAGAAGCUGCCCAUUUCCUCCAUCUCCGGUCCCUGGAGGUUCCUCGGAUCCUUUUGGGGAGACCAUGGGCCCUAAACGAUCUUCAUAACAAAACUGAGAAGUGGCCUGGCUUCUUCACUGUGCUCAUGUGUGCUCGGAUCCAGCGUGGCCCGACUGGGCAGCUCCUUUCCUUCCCUGACGCUGCUCCAGGGGAAAGAAGGGCCAGGGUCAAUCUGGGGUGCCCCAGGUGGAUCAGCGAAUGCCCCUGAAGCCAGGUGCCAGUUGCAUCCCCGUCAGAUGCCCCCACCCCAGUCUCCUGAGCCUCAUUAGUCACCCCUCAUUUUCCUCUGGGGACCCCAGGCCCCAGCUCCUGUCUGGUUAGAGGCUGAAGGGGUCUGAGCGACACCUACCCUAGGGGACCUCCGGAGGGGUCUUGGUGUCCUCUGACUUCUGUCCUCAGAAGGGAGCUCAGAAUGCAGCUGAGGCUUCCCCUGGGGCCCAGGGUGUCUGUGUCCGAGCCACAGCCAGAGUGUGCCCUGGAGAGCCGCUGGGAUGCACGGUGGGCUCUCGUCAUCCUGUCCCCACUCCAGGCUCAGGCUGGAGCCGUGAUGGCACCGCUGCACUCCAACCUGGGCAACAGAGUGAGACCCUGUCUCUAUAAAAUAAAAACAAAAAUAAAGAAGA
rnacentral:lncRNA from 1 species